rfam:Leptomonas pyrrhocoris LpyrH10_05, whole genome shotgun sequence.
GACGUCACACCAACCGCUGCUCAUACGCCUUGCCUAUCGUAUAGUGGUGAUUUUUGUGGACGGAGAU